rnacentral:rRNA from 1 species
UAUUGCACAAUGGGGGAAACCCUGAUGCAGCCAUGCCGCGUGUGUGAAGAAGGCCUUCGGGUUGUAAAGCACUUUCAGUAGGGAGGAAAGGGUGUAGUUUAAUACGCUGUAUCUGUGACGUUACCUACAGAAGAAGGACCGGCUAACUCCGUGCCAGCAGCCGCGGUAAUACGGAGGGUCCGAGCGUUAAUCGGAAUUACUGGGCGUAAAGCGUGCGCAGGCGGUUUGUUAAGCGAGAUGUGAAAGCCCUGGGCUCAACCUAGGAAUAGCAUUUCGAACUGGCGAACUAGAGUCUUGUAGAGGGGGGUAGAAUUCCAGGUGUAGCGGUGAAAUGCGUAGAGAUCUGGAGGAAUACCGGUGGCGAAGGCGGCCCCCUGGACAAAGACUGACGCUCAUGCACGAAAGCGUGGGGAGCAAACAGGAUUAGAUACCCUGGUAGUCCACGCCGUAAACGAUGUCUACUCGGAGUUUGGUGUCUUGAACACUGGGCUCUCAAGCUAACGCAUUAAGUAGACCGCCUGGGGAGUACGGCCGCAAGGUUAAAACUCAAAUGAAUUGACGGGGGCCCGCCACAAGA